AUUAUUGCUUUUAGAGCAGGAA
rnacentral:piRNA from 1 species